AAAAAAACGAAUAAAUGUUGGUGGCUAUUUCCGGUAGCCAAUUUUUCCUAGCCUGACGCUGACCAUCGUCCGAAAGGUUUCACUGGAGGAAAAUUCGCAGACUCGAAGCAACUCCGCCGUGCAUCUAUGAGGCAAGAAUCGUCAGUGCAUCUGCAUAAUUGUUCAUUAUAUUCGCGAACGAAAUGAAGAUACAUGAAUUAUAUAUUAUGUAGCCAUAGAUGAUGUAUUUUCUAGAAUAAUUGUUUUGGUCAUUCGAUACGAAACAUCUUGAAGUAUUUAUUGUAACACAUAUCUUGUAGA
rnacentral:misc_RNA from 1 species